GAAGCUCCUGAUUCUGAAGGUCCGACCACUUCUCCGACAACUUCCCUAAAUCCUAAUGACGAGGAAAUUCCCGGAUCCGACGACAGAGGAAACCCGAACCGGUUCACUCCACCCCCGUCAGCCUCGUUGCCUUCCUCUUUGCACUCUCUCAAGCUUUCGGUUCUUCUAUUUGCUUUCGUCUUUGAGAUUAUCAAAUUCUUCUAAUUAGAUAGCAAUUCCUUAUUAGGAUGAUGUUAUUAUUUCCUUUCCUAUUCUAUUUUACCUGAUUCUGGUUAAAAUAAUAUAAUGUAUUGAAGUUUUUGUUGUAUUUGGUGUACCUGUAUUUAAUAGUCCAAUUAAUAAAACAGUUUUCAUAAUUUUUUA